UACGUAGGGGGGCUAGCGUUGUCCGGAAUCAUUGGGCGUAAAGAGCGCGUAGGCGGCCAGAUAAGUCCGGUGUGAAAGUCACAGGCUCAACCUGUGAAUGCCGCUGGAAACUGUAUGGCUAGAGUCCGGAAGAGGCGAGUGGAAUUCCCGGUGUAGCGGUGAAAUGCGCAGAUAUCGGGGAGGAACACCAAUGGCGAAGGCAGCUCGCUGGGACGGUACUGACGCUGAGACGCGAAAGCGUGGGGAGCAAACAGG
rnacentral:rRNA from 1 species